ACUCCUGCACUAAAUGGGGUUGGAUGCAAAUACCCCAGGAUUGUGAAUGACUUGUCUGGGUUGGAAGGUUUCCGACGCUUAAAAUUGGAUUUAUGUGGAAAUUGCAUCAAGUGUCAUGUAGGAGGAGUUCUUUGAAACCAAACAAGUUACGAAUUCUCCCUUAUAAAAAAGGAAAUUGAGACCCGACAACUCACUGGAUCUCAUCAUAAGAGGUUUGCAAUGCACAGCAGGUCCUGGCACAGACAGAUGUGUUGUCACGCGUAGGAGUCCAGAACCUUUCUCCAGCUUCUAUUAGCAGCCCCACUCCUCUCCCUCCCCCCACGCCUCCUCAGAGCAUCUUUAAUAAGACACAUGCUCCGGGGCUCGGGCUCUCAUUCACACCAAACGCUCCUUGGCGAUCCUCCAACAGGCUGCCUGCUCCACUUCUAGCCCCGCCGAGUCUUCAUGGGUUGAACCGACAGGAGUGCCACACUCUCCUCUCCUCCUUUUUCCUCCUCUCCUCUCAUACACCACGCAUCGCUCCUCCAUUACAUCGUCAACCGACCCCCCCCACCCCCCAC